rnacentral:rRNA from 1 species
CAGCAGCCACGGGAAUACGAAGGGUGCAAGCGUUACUCGGAAUUACUGGGCGUAAAGCGUGUGUAGGUGGUUGUUUAAGUCUGUCGUGAAAGCCCUGGGCUCAACCUGGGAAUUGCGAUGGAUACUGGGCGACUAGAGUGCGGUAGAGGAUAGUGGAAUUUCCGGUGUAGCAGUGAAAUGCGUAGAGAUCGGAAGGAACAUCUGUGGCGAAGGCGACUAUCUGGGCCAACACUGACACUGAGACACGAAAGCGUGGGGAGCAAACAGGAUUAGAUACCCCGGUAGUCCCUGUCUCUUAUAC